rnacentral:rRNA from 1 species
GCCUUGGGGGGGCAUGCCUUUACCAUGCAAGUCGAACGGUAACAGGGUGCUUGCACCGCUGACGAGUGGCGAACGGGUGAGUAAUGCAUCGGAAUGUACCGUGUAAUGGGGGAUAGCUCGGCGAAAGCCGGAUUAAUACCGCAUACGCCCUGAGGGGGAAAGUGGGGGACCGUAAGGCCUCACGUUAUACGAGCAGCCGAUGUCUGAUUAGCUAGUUGGUGGGGUAAAGGCUCACCAAGGCGACGAUCAGUAGCGGGUCUGAGAGGAUGAUCCGCCACACUGGGACUGAGACACGGCCCAGACUCCUACGGGAGGCAGCAGUGGGGAAUUUUGGACAAUGGGCGCAAGCCUGAUCCAGCCAUGCCGCGUGUCUGAAGAAGGCCUUCGGGUUGUAAAGGACUUUUGUCCGGGAGCAAAUCCCAGUGGUUAACACCUACUGGGGCUGAGAGUACCGGAAGAAUAAGCACCGGCUAACUACGUGCCAGCAGCCGCGGUAAUACGUAGGGUGCAAGCGUUAAUCGGAAUUACUGGGCGUAAAGCGUGCGCAGGCGGUUGUGCAAGUCUGAUGUGAAAGCCCCGGGCUUAACCUGGGAACGGCAUUGGAGACUGCACGACUAGAGUGCGUCAGAGGGGGGUAGAAUUCCGCGUGUAGCAGUGAAAUGCGUAGAGAUGCGGAGGAAUACCGAUGGCGAAGGCAGCCCCCUGGGAUGACACUGACGCUCAUGCACGAAAGCGUGGGGAGCAAACAGGAUUAGAUACCCCUGGUAGUCCACGCCCUAAACGAUGUCAACUAGCUGUUGGGGGUUUGAAUCCUUGGUAGCGAAGCUAACGCGAGAAGUUGACCGCCUGGGGAGUACGGCCGCAAGGUUAAAACUCAAAGGAAUUGACGGGGACCCGCACAAGCGGUGGAUGAUGUGGAUUAAUUCGAUGCAACGCGAAAAAACCUUACCUGGUCUUGACAUGUAACGAACGGCUGCAGAAGAAUGU